AUUGCGAAUUCUCUCAAAUUGCCCCAAAUUGCCACCGUGAGCCCUAGUAGACCACGACCACCAAUCUGAUUCUCUCAAAUUGCCUCCGCCGAUCUGAUUCUACUCCGCCGACCAAGACUGUCCACGAUCUGAGCCUCCGUCGUGAGCCUCAGCCGACUGCCCGCCAAGACGCCGUGUCUCCUCUGCUGUCGCCAAGACGCCGACCGCCCUCGCCGUCUGCUCACCUGAUCGAUCGUCGCUGCUCACAGGAAAGGGCAACCAUGUUGUCAUUGAGCUUAACAAUAGUCUCCAGAUCCGGUUAGUGCUCAGAUCUGGUGCUGUGGUGGAGAGAGACGACGAAAUGUCACUUCUCCGCGAGGCUCAUCAAGCCUUCUCCGAGAGCGCACGCAUCUUCAUCCAUUACCUCUCUACUGUUGCAAAUGAUGUAUGCAUGGAGUCUAAGAGGCAAACGAUGAAUGCAGAAGAUGUUUUCAAUGCUCUUGAUGAAAUAGAGUUUAGUGAAUUUAUUGAUCCUCUCAGAGCUUCUCUUGAAGAUUAGGAAUGCAUGGCUAGCAGAGAAUGAUAGAAUCAUUUCUUGGGAGAUAUGCUUUAAGCCGGCUUGUAGGGAUGAAUUAUCAAGCACGGUUGGGCAUGAUGGUUGCUGGAGCAUAUGGAUUCCCCCAAUUUCGCAUGCGUGUCUUCAUGUGGAGAGGAGAGUUUACCUCCAGGUCGAACUAUUCUGUCAACCUCCACCAUCCAAUCCGGUGGAGUUCAAUUUGCCUUCUUGAUGGUUACUAGCUCCCAACACAUGGACACUGUUAGAGCAGACAUUUCUGGGAAGAAAGAUGUGACAGACCUGAAUAUAUCAUUCAAUUUUGUGGGACAGAGAGUCAAGGAAAGGAAAGGAAAGAUUGAAGUCCUCCUCCUCCCUUUCCAUAUCUGCACAUCCUCUUCAAGCUUAAGCUUAUUUUUACUGUGUAAUUUUGUGAAAAUUUCUUUGUUAAACUUUUCCUUUGGCUGUAAUUUUAUUUAUU